rnacentral:rRNA from 1 species
AUACGUAGGGGGCAAGCGUUAUCCGGAAUUACUGGGCGUAAAGGGUGCGUAGGUGGCCUGACAAGUCAGGGGUCAAAGGCAACGGCUCAACCGUUGUAAGCCCUUGAAACUGUCGGGCUUGAGUUCAGGAGAGGAAAGCGGAAUUCCUAGUGUAGCGGUGAAAUGCGUAGAUAUUAGGAGGAACACCAGUGGCGAAGGCGGCUUUCUGGUCUGAUACUGACACUGAGGCACGAAAGCGUGGGGAGCAAACAGGAUUAGAUACCCUGGUAGUCCACGCCGUAAACGAUGAGUACUAGGUGUCGGCCCUAAGGGUCGGUGCCGCAGUUAACACAUUAAGUACUCCGCCUGGGAAGUACGCUCGCAAGAGUGAAACUCAAAGGAAUUGACGGG